rnacentral:lncRNA from 1 species
UGUGUUUUUUUUAAUUGUUUCAUAUUCUUUUGUGUGUUAUGGAACACGAAUGGGGGUAUUCGAUGUUCCAUAAGUUUUCGGCUAUUGAUUAGCCAGUUGUACAGAACAAAUAUUGUACUUACAGAUUGGCAGCUCGCCAAGGUUUAUAGAGAAUAUUGAAAAGAGAAAGGAAAAAAAACAAAAAAAAAAAGGAAGAAAACAUAGAGAGCUAGGAGGAUCAAUAAGUUGAAUUGGCCUUCUAUCUCAGUUUCUUUUCAUUUAUUUUGUGUGUAGAUGUUAUAUAAUAAGCUUCUAGGCUGUUCAGAGCUUUUUUUCUCUUUGCCUGAUCUACAUGUAAUGUAAAACAUACUUUAUUUGAUUGGAGAAUGCAUGAUGGUUCGUGUGUGCAGACAUUUUUCUUCUCCUUCUCUACUUGUCUGAGAUAGUAAGAUUGCUCAUUACUGUGAUACUGUAACAGGUAAUGAACAUUUAUCUUUACACAAAAACUUGUUAUAACUUAUAAGCACAGAACAGGAAAGAGAUAUGAGUUCUUACUCAUAAAGAUAAAGGUUGUUGCUUUCUCUGGCUUUAGACAAGAGACUUCUUCCAUUCCUUCUGCUGCUGCUGUCUCUGUUUCAGAGAGAUCUGUAAAUGGGGGUGGAAUCUUGUGGGGAAUGAGGGGUCUGAGAAAUCUGUUGCUUAUUUAAAUUGGUCAGCAGUUGGUGGUGGUGGUGGCCAACUGUGAUCAUUACUAAAAGCAAAAGCCAG